AUUGAACGCUGGCGGCAGGCCUAACACACGCAAGUCGAGCGAGCGGCGGACGGGUGAGUAAUGUAUGGGGACUGCCCGAUAGAGGGGGAUAACUACUGGAAACGGUGGCUAAUACCGCAUACUAUCGGAUAACCCAUAUGGGAUUGGCUAGUAGGUGGGGUAAAGGCUCACAUAGGAGACGAUCUCUAGCUGGUCUGAGAGGAUGAUCGGCCACACUGGGUCUGAGAAACGGCCCGGACUGCUGCGGAGGCGGCAGUGGGGAAUAUUGAGCAAUGGGCGCAAGCCUGAUGCAGCCAUGCCGCGUGUAUGAAGAAGGCCUUAGGGUUGUAAAGUACUUUCAGCGGGGAGGCGUUACCCGCAGAAGAAGCACCGGCUAACUCCGUGCCAGCAGCCGCGGUAAUUC
rnacentral:rRNA from 1 species